GCAAGAUUCGUCGACACAGAGUUUGAUCCUGGCUCAGGCGAGUUCGUCAACAACAGAUUUUGAUCCUGGGAAGCCGCAUUGAGAGAUAGCUUGGGUCGGGGACCCCUAGAGGAAACGGUGGCUAAUACCGGAUGUGCCGAAAGGUGAAAGAUUUAUUGCCUGAAGAUGAGCUCGCGUCUGUUUAGCUAGUAGGUGUGGUAAGAGCGCACCUAGGCGACGAUCAGUAGCUGGUCUGAAAGGAUGAUCAGCCACACUGGGACUGAGACACGGCCCAAACUCCUACGGGAGGCAGCAGUGGGGAAUUUUCCGCAAUGGGCGAAAGCCUGACGGAGCAAUACCGCGUGAGGGAGGAAGGCUCUUGGGUUGUAAACCUCUUUUCUCAGGGAAGAAAAAAAUGACGGUACCUGAGGAAUAAGCUUCGGCUAACUCCGUGCCAGCACCCGCGGUAAUACGGAGGAUGCAAGCGUUAUCCGGAAUGAUUGGGCGUAAAGCGUCCGCAGGUGGCUAUGUAAGUCUGCUGUUAAAGAGUGAGGCUCAACCUCAUAAGAGCAGUGGAAACUACAUAGCUAGAGUGCGUUCGGGGCAGAGGGAAUUCCUGGUGUAGCGGUGAAAUGCGUAGAGAUCAGGAAAAACACCGGUGGCAAAAGCGCUCUGCUAGGCCGCAACUGACACUGAGGGACGAAAGCUAGGGGAGCGAAAUGGGAUUAGAUACCCCAUUAAUCCUAGCCGUAAACGAUGGAUACUAGGC
rnacentral:rRNA from 1 species